UACAGAGGUCCCAAGCGUUGUUCGGAUUCACUGGGCGUAAAGGGUGCGUAGGUGGUCAGGUAAGUCUGAUGUGAAAGCUCUGGGCUCAACCCAGAAAUGGCAUUGGAUACUAUCUGGCUAGAGGAAUGGAGGGGGACUGGAAUACUUGGUGUAGCAGUGAAAUGCGUAGAUAUCAAGUGGAACACCAGUGGCGAAGGCGGCUCACUGGCCCGUAACUGACGCUCAUGCACGACAGCGUGGGGAUCAAACAGG
rnacentral:rRNA from 1 species